CGUGUUUCCUCCUCCUCCCCCUCUAUCCCCACUCUCUAUCUCACUCCUCUCUCUCUCUCUCCCUCACACUACUUCCAUCAGAAGGUGUUACCUUGGUUGAUAUUGAUGCAAUGUAAAAGAGAUGUGAGCUGAUGGUGUUGUGUUGUGUUUGCUGGUGUUAUGGUUAUCAUUAUUAUUAUUAGUAUUAUUUUAUUAUAACAAGAACAGAGGCUUUUUUUCUUUCCUUUUUUUUUUCUUCUUCUUUCUUUGUUUUAGUUUGAUAACUGACUGAUAAGUGUUGUGGUGGUCUACUCCUUGGCUUUCUUUUCUUCUUCGGCUUCUGCUGCUAUACUAUUAUUACUACUACUACUUUUAAAGCCUGCUUUUUACUUCUGUGGCUUGUUUACACGGCACAACAACCACAAAACAUCACACAUUACGGAAUAAUAUUAUAUCGUAUCAUAUAAGCUUUUUAGUGUAGUGUAAAAUACACUACACAUAGUUUACGAAAGAUUUACUAAAGGAGGAAACAUACAUAUAUAUACAUAUAUAUAUAUUAUAUGCAAGAUACACCAGCCACAUAAUACAAAAACCAGAUUUAUAUGGAUUUAUCUAUCACAGCAAGAGAUCUCUUGUAACUACUAUCACUACUACUUAUAUAUAUAUACAUAUACAUAUAUAUAUACAUAUAUAUAUAUAUAUAUGUAUGCUCACCUUUCAAAAGGCCUGGUUUCUAUGGAUUAAUACAAACAAAAAAAGCACAUUUUAAAGAACGAGGUUUUUUUUAAUUAUAUAUAUAUAUAUAUAUAUAUGGAUUUAUCAUCUUAUCAACACAGUGAGAUACCACCAAGAAACAGUUGACAUAAUAUUAUUAUUAUACUGAUAUAUAUAUAGUAUUAAUAUAUAAUAUUAUAUAAUAUAUAUAUAUAUUUAUGUUUGUUUAUUGUGAGAUCUUAUUGCUGACUUCUACCUACCAUGUCACAACAAUUAUUUAAACAAUAUCAACACGACCACCACUAUUUAAAACGUGGUAUUAUGGAGAUAUAAGAAGUUAAGGUGGUCUCUCUUACAAAGAAGUGUUCAAUAAGAGGAAGCUGUUGCAAUAUAGUAAUCAUCCUUGCUGAACUCUGAGGAUAUAUAUUUACUUACUCAAAGUAUAUACAGUUUUAAACAUAUGCACACUCAUUCACUCACACAUUUAUGUGUGUAUGUAUAUUUAUAUACAUAUAACUAAAGUGGAUAUAUAACAUGGCAAGGUCUUUACUAUUUAUGAGUAUGGUUUGAGGAAGAUUUGGCUCCUAUUUCUAGCAGUCUCAUGAACGCUGCAGGUUUAUUCUGAAGUCAGGCUAAGUUGAUUUGGCGACCUUGCAUUCAUCCCUGCGGCUGCAGGCUUUUUCCUUUGCUCUCCUAAUUUUCCUAUUUUUUUUUAAAAAAAA
rnacentral:misc_RNA from 1 species